AACGAACGCUGGCGGCAUGCCUAACACAUGCAAGUCGAACGAGACCUUCGGGUCUAGUGGCGCACGGGUGCGUAACGCGUGGGAACCUGCCCUUAGGUUCGGAAUAACUCCCCGACAGGGGUGCUAAUACCGGAUAAUGUCUUCGGACCAAAGAUUUAUCGCCGUUGGAUGGGCCCGCGUUGGAUUAGCUAGUUGGUAGGGUAAAAGCCUACCAAGGCGACGAUCCAUAGCUGGUCUGAGAGGAUGAUCAGCCACACUGGGACUGAGACACGGCCCAGACUCCUACGGGAGGCAGCAGUGGGGAAUAUUGGACAAUGGGCGAAAGCCUGAUACAGCAAUGCCGCGUGAGUGAUGAAGGCCUUAGGGUUGUAAAGCUCUUUUACCCGGGAUGAUAAUGACAGUACCGGGAGAAUAAGCUCCGGCUAACUCCGUG
rnacentral:rRNA from 1 species